AACACGUGGGUAACCUGCCUUAUAGUGGGGGAGUAGCCUUUCGAAAGGAAGAUUAAUACCGCAUAAGAUUGUAGUAUCGCAUGAUAUAGCAAUUAAAGGAGCAAUUCGCUAUAAGAUGGACCCGCGUCGCAUUAGCUAGUUGGUGAGGUAAUGGCUCACCAAGGCGACGAUGCGUAGCCGACCUGAGAGGGUGACCGGCCACAUUGGGACUGAGACACGGCCCAGACUCCUACGGGAGGCAGCAUG
rnacentral:rRNA from 1 species